GACCUCAAAUCAGGUAGGACUACCCGCUGAACUUAAGCAUAUCAAUAAGCGGAGGAAAAGAAACUAACAAGGAUUCCCCUAGUAACUGCGAGUGAAGAGGGAAAAGCUCAAAUUUAAAAUCUGUCAGUCUUUGGCUGACCGAGUUGUAAAUUAGAGAAGUGCUAUCUGCGCUGGCCUGGUGCAAAAGCCUCUUGGAAAAGAGCAUCAUAGAGGGUGACAAUCCCGUCUUUGGUACAGAGCUCCAGGGCUUCAUGAUGUGCUCUCAAUGAGUCGAGUUGUUUGGGAAUGCAGCUCUAAAUGGGUGGUAAAUUCCAUCUAAAGCUAAAUAUUGGCGAGAAACCGAUAGCGCACAAGUACCGUGAGGGAAAGAUGAAAAGAACUUUGAAAAGAGAGUUAAACAGUACGUGAAAUUGUUGAAAGGGAAACGCUUGAAGUCAG
rnacentral:rRNA from 1 species